UGAACUGCCACGCCAGGGAACUCCUUGGAGCUGGUUUUGGUGUGCUCGGUCCCUGGGUGCGGUGGGCAGUAGCAGGCCUACUGUCUAGGCGCAGAAAAUUACUUUCAAUGUUAUUUUCUGCUCCUACCAUGGUGACCACGGGUAACGGGGAAUCAGGGUACAAUUCCAGAGAUGGAGCCUGAGAAAUGGCUACCACAUCCAAGGAAGGCAGCAGGCAUGCAAAUACCCACUCCUGACGCAGGGAGGUAGUGA